rnacentral:misc_RNA from 1 species
UAGCUCCUAAUUUUUUUUUUGAUGAAUCUGUGGCACUAGUAAAUUAUCUUCCCAACUGCUGUUGUGUACUGACCAUGUAUCAAAGCAUGAGCUUGUUAUGUUGACCACUUUAUGUGAGCUUCUGUUAGUAAUUGAUUCAUAUAUGAUGGUAGCAAUAUAGAAUUUGACGCUAUUCCCUUGCCAGGUGGUGCAUUAUCAUGUUCAUUGGUUUGAAAUGGCCUAAGCAGUGUCAGUGGUUGUUGGUAACCAAUGGUUUACUGGAUUCUAAACUUUCAAGGAACCUGUUGAUUGCUCUCUCUCUCUCUCACCCUCUCUCUCUCUGUCUCUUCCUUAUUUUAAUUGGAAAGAUCUGGCUAAUCAUAUGGCUAUACUUUCUAUAAAAUAUUUAUUUUUAUUUUAUUUUGUUUUUCUGAUUCAUCUCAGGCUUCAGUUAUUAGAGUACUUCUGAAAAUUUAGGGAGUUAUUGGAGUACUUCUGAAAAUUUAGGGCGUUAUUGGAAAUUUAUAUGUUCCAGUAUGAGUACACGUGUGAUUGUUGUAUUUUUAAUUAUUUUUUUAAUCAAUUCUUAUGAUUUUAGAACUUUGUUUUCGUAUAUUUUGCUUUAUGUUUUGGCAAUAAUGCUUCCAUUGGAGCCUUUUUUUGGGUAAAUCUUCUUUCUUAUUUUCGGCAUUUUUUAUUGUCAGACUAAUAUGGAGAUGAGUAAAA